rnacentral:pre_miRNA from 1 species
UGGCGAGAAAUCCAGUGGCUGUGAUUGGUUAGCGUCGCAUUUCACCUUGGAGGCGGCCAAUCAUUGCCGCGGGAUUUCUCGCCGA